rnacentral:rRNA from 1 species
CCUACGGGAGGCAGCAGUAGGGAAUCUUGCGCAAUGGGCGAAAGCCUGACGCAGCCAUGCCGCGUGAAUGAUGAAGGUCUUAGGAUUGUAAAAUUCUUUCACCGGGGACGAUAAUGACGGUACCCGGAGAAGAAGCCCCGGCUAACUUCGUGCCAGCAGCCGCGGUAAUACGAAGGGGGCUAGCGUUGCUCGGAAUUACUGGGCGUAAAGGGAGCGUAGGCGGAUAGUUUAGUCAGAGGUGAAAGCCCAGGGCUCAACCUUGGAACUGCCUUUGAUACUGGCUAUCUUGAGUACGGGAGAGGUGAGUGGAACUCCGAGUGUAGAGGUGAAAUUCGUAGAUAUUCGGAAGAACACCAGUGGCGAAGGCGACUCACUGGCCCGUUACUGACGCUGAGGCUCGAAAGCGUGGGGAGCAAACAGGAUUAGAUACCCUGGUAGUCCACGCUGUAAACGAUGAGUGCUAGUUGUCGGCAUGCAUGCAUGUCGGUGACGCAGCUACGCAUUAAGUACACUCCGCCGUCGGGGAGGUACGGUCGGCGAAGAAUUAAAACUUAACGAAACGGAAAGUUAGUACGGCGUGAGACGUGCCGACGGACGACCGACGAGGGAGGUUAGG